rnacentral:rRNA from 1 species
AGAGUUUGAUCAUGGCUCAGAUUGAACGCUGGCGGCAGGCUUAACACAUGCAAGUCGAGCGGGCGAGGUUGCUUCGGUAACUGAGCUAGCGGCGGACGGGUGAGUAAUGCUUAGGAAUCUGCCUAUUAGUGGGGGACAACAUUCCGAAAGGGAUGCUAAUACCGCAUACGUCCUACGGGAGAAAGCAGGGGCUCUUUAUGACCUUGCGCUAAUAGAUGAGCCUAAGUCGGAUUAGCUAGUUGGUGGGGUAAAGGCCUACCAAGGCGACGAUCUGUAGCGGGUCUGAGAGGAUGAUCCGCCACACUGGGACUGAGACACGGCCCAGACUCCUACGGGAGGCAGCAGUGGGGAAUAUUGGACAAUGGGGGGAACCCUGAUCCAGCCAUGCCGCGUGUGUGAAGAAGGCCUUUUGGUUGUAAAGCACUUUAAGUGGGGAGGAGGCUUACCUGGUUAAUACCUAGGAUAAGUGGACGUACCCACAGAAUAAGCACCGGCUAACUCUGUGCCAGCAGCCGCGGUAAUAC